rnacentral:rRNA from 1 species
AGUGAACGCUGGCGGUAGGCCUAACACAUGCAAGUCGAACGGCAGCACAGUAAGAGCUUGCUCUUACGGGUGGCGAGUGGCGGACGGGUGAGGAAUACAUCGGAAUCUACUUUUUCGUGGGGGACAACGUAGGGAAACUUACGCUAAUACCGCAUACGUCCUACGGGUGAAAGCAGGGGAUCUUCCGACCUUGCGCGAUUGAAUUAGCCGAUGUCGGAUUAGCUAGUUGGCGGGGUAAAGGCCCACCAAGGCGACGAUCCGUAGCUGGUCUGAGAGGAUGAUCGGCCACACUGGAACUGAGACACGGUCCAGACUCCUACGGGAGGCAGCAGUGGGGAAUAUUGGGCAAUGGGCGCAAGCCUGACCCAGCAAUACCGCGUGAGUGAAGAAGGCCUUCGGGUCGUAAAGCCCUUUUGUUGGGAAAGAACAGCUGCAGGUUAAUACGCCGCUGUUCUGACGGUACCCAAUGAAUAAGCACCGGCUAACUACGUG